rnacentral:misc_RNA from 1 species
AACGCACCUUGCGCUCCUUGGUAUUCCGAGGAGCAUGCCUGUUUGAGUGUCAUUAAUAUAUCAACCUCUUCAACUUGCUUGUUGAGUGUUUGGAUGGUUGGGGGGUCAUUUUUUGCUGGUCUCUUUCCUGAAGUCAGCUCCCCUGAAAUGCAUUAGCAGAACAAUUUGUGGACCCGUUCAUUGGUGUGAUAAAUAUCUACGCUAUUGACGUUAAGCAGUUCAGCUUCUAACAGUUCAUUGACUUGGACAAUAUCAUUAAUGUGACCUCAAAUCAGGUAGGACUACCCGCUGAACUUAA